CUCUUCGUUUUUUCAUAUUUCAUGCGUCUGAAAUAGAGCCAUUUUCAUCACACUUCAUCCACACUCCACUUCUUCACAAUCGAAUUUUUAUUCUCUUCUCAAUUAAGUUUAUCCCAAUCAUUAACCUCAAUCGAAUCAUAUUCUUCUUCUUGGUCAAGGAUUUGCGAUCUCAGCGUGAAUCAUUCUCCAAAUUCCGAUUCUCCUUCUCGAUUUCAAUUUCGAUUUCGCAUUCUCAAAACUCUUGAAAGGUACCAAAAAUGCACUAUGGUGCCGUGGAAGUCAACAAACCUGCCAAAGAGUUUGAGGUCCACCCUUACUUCAAUCCAAUUUCGGAAGCACUUGGCGUUGCCCCUAUUCCAGGUGCUGCUGCUCUAGCUGGAAAGCUGAACCACCAAGGUAUUGAUGCGGUAUCUUUGUCACAAAUUAAAGAAGGUUUUAGUUUCCAAGGCAUGCGCAAUCAUAGUAUUAGCUUCAGAUGAAAAUGCUGAUCACAUAAAUUCUACACAUUCCAAUUUCUUCUCACUUAUCCAGACUUACCUUUCACGGCCUCUGACCCAAAAUUUACGGCCUCCAACCCAACAUUCCUCAAUUCUUCAAUUCAUAAAUCAAUAAGAAUUAAUCUCCAUUCAAUUUCACAUACUCCAUCACCUUUCAAUUGAAAUCACCUAACCAAAUCAAAUUCAUCAACCCAUCAAGUAAACAUACCAAUUCCAUCCAAAUACACAAUUCAAUCUUAUUCCUAGGGGCAUCUAACUUAGGACUUCAUGUUACAUUACAUGGUAUUUAAAUAAAACUUAAACUGUAUCUUAAUGACGGUAGUUCCAAACCCUUGAGUCCUUUCACGGGCAAUCCCAAUGUUCACCAAACCCACGCCACUUGAUCCAUGACUCAAUCCCAUAUCGACCAACAUAACAAUUUCGCUAUUCACAACAAAAGCCCACGAUUUCUCAACCUAGGAUUCAAAAGAUUGGAUAAUUGAAAGGGGAUAAAGCUUUUUUACCUUAACCUGUUGAGAUUGGUGAUGGAGCCCAAUAGCUCUUAUUAGAGCACCUCUAAACAAUCAAAAUCACAAGUUUUUUUAAAACCAAACUAAAAAUACGAAAUUAGAAAGAAUAGGAAAAUAGGCAUAGAAUUUGAAAUUUCUUACCACUUUAUUUAAAUAAAAUCAAAGAGGGUUUUGAGAUGAAUGUGUGGCCACAAAUGGCUUGUCAAUCGGAGUUAUGGAUAAAAAAUUAUGAGAAAUUGAAGAUUUGAUUGAGUUAGUAUUUUGUUUCUUUUUUCUCUCUUCUCUCAACGUGUUUCACUUCCAAAUGAGGGGUGAUGUGCUAAAGUUUUAGCUGAAUGGGAGUGUUAGUGAGUGGGCCUUGGUCCCAAUUAGGCCUGGUUUACUUGAUUUAUCUCGUUGGCCUGAUUUAGGGUCAAAAUCUUUAAAAUUAGUAUUAUAAUUUGUAUUCGAAUUAUUUUUGCUUCUCUAAAUUAUAAAUUUUUAACUUCUUAACUUCAUUCACUCAUAAAUUAAUUUUUUCACUCAAGUAUCAGACAGAUUUAAGUUGGUACAACUGGUUAAUUUACCAAUAUUCAUUUUUAUGUAAUUUUUUUAUAGAAAACUAUAUUUUCUCACUCGAAAAAAUUCUCUAAAUCUAAAUAUUAUCAUUAAAAUUUUAAAUUUCUAAGCGUUAAUUUUCGAUCUCGCCUGGACGCAUUU